AGCGAACGCUGGCGGCAGGCCUAACACAUGCAAGUCGAACGGCUCUUCGGAGCAGUGGCGGACGGGUGAGUAACACGUGGGAACGUGCCCUAAGGUACGGAACAACUGAGGGAAACUUCAGCUAAUACCGUAUGUGCCCUACGGGGGAAAGAUUUAUCGCCUUAGGAGCGGCCCGCGUUGGAUUAGGUAGUUGGUGGGGUAAAGGCCUACCAAGCCUACGAUCCAUAGCUGGUCUGAGAGGANGAUCAGCCACACUGGGACUGAGACACGGCCCAGACUCCUACGGGAGGCAGCAGUGGGGAAUCUUGCGCAAUGGGCGAAAGCCUGACGCAGCCAUGCCGCGUGUAUGAUGAAGGUCUUAGGAUUGUAAAAUACUUUCACCGGGGAAGAUAAUGACGGUACCCGGAGAAGAAG
rnacentral:rRNA from 1 species